rnacentral:lncRNA from 1 species
AUCGUAUCGCAUCUGUAUAUUCAAAUCGCUUCAAACAUGAUUCGAAGCUUGAAACUCUUGAUCAUGUAGAAGGUCUUGAAUCUUUAAAGUCUUGGCAGUCUUAGAAGUCUUGAUCAUCAUGGAAAUCUCGAUCGUCUAGGAAGUGUUGAAAAUUAUGACCAUUUUAAAAGCCUUGAUCGUAUUACAAGUCUCGAUCAUCUUGUGAAAUAAAUGUAUAUAUGAUAAUUUGAUCUUUCCAGGCGUUUUAUAAACAUUUGUUGUAGCUUGCAAAACUGAAACUAACAGCUUCAAAACGAUCAAGACUUUCGAGACUUGAAAGUCUCAAACUUAUCAAGAUUUACAAAAGAGCUUUAAACUUCGAAUCAUGUUCGAAGCGAUCCGAAUUUGUCGCCUCAUACACGAUACAAAUUCGAAGCAAAUCGAAGUGUUUCCAUGUCAUCACUAGCCGCAAUUCGUACCUAAUAACUAGGCAAACACGACAACAAAUUGAAGGAGCCAACAUCCAAACGCACAGCAUGAUUUUUGGACGACUAUUAUCUUCGUGCCUGUAUUUCGCUACAAUUUCAUCGACACGUCCGUUAACCCAGGUACACACAUUGACUGUCGAAUUUCCAACCAGCCAAAUUGCAUACGAUCACGUUAUAAGCGCCCAGAGUAUCAGCGUAUGGUGUAUGAAUAAUGAAUGAGCCUCGGACUGCAUAGUAAGACUGAGAAUACGGUCUUAUACGGUACUGUUACAUCCAGCGAAAAGGUGGGGUUGCACAGUUAAAACUCGUGCAACGAGACAGCCGGCCAAUAAGCAGGCAUAAAGACGACGGCGUUAAAUAACCGGUACUCGUCCUAUCGGCCGAUUGCUUUUUGUUGUAGGCCAUGGCACGUCAGCUCGAGGCUCGAGCACCACUCUGUCGACCAGCGAAACGGCUAAUGUUCUUGUUUUUUUUCUUGCCUUCUUUCUGUUUUCAUUCUUCUUCUCCUUCGCGUUCUUCUUCUUCUCCUUGUUCCUUUUUGUCUGAUUCUUUUAUUCUUUGCCGAGUUCGAUCGAAUCGAGAAAGAUCGAAGGGAAGCGUUCGAUGGAAACAAUUUUUUAACAAAGGACUCGAUCGUGUUGCGUUAGAAAAGUCAGGUUUCUGUAUAAGAAGAAAAUAGAGUCACUAGUCAUUAGGGAAUGUACCACGAAUCUUCCUCACUAAGUAGCUACAAUAUUCUGAAAUAACACAAGCAAUUUGCAUCACACUGAAGCUAAGAAUUUUUGGUGCCAUCUUCUAACCAAAUGACGAAGAACAUACGCAUUACCAACUUCAAUAGUCUAUAUAAUUAUUUCAAUUAAUCCGAACAGAUGCAUUUAUUAAUCUAUACACAGCAUAAAAUAGAGUUCCCGGUAAGCGCCUGUAUGUUCAGAGCUAAUUUCAAGGACCACUUGAAGAAUUUCGAUGCGGUGUUCUCGAGGAAGAUUUAGAUGUAUGAAACAUUAACCUACGACAAAAGGGAGCAAGAAUAGAACAUUAAGAAUAUGAACCCAGAGGCAGUACACGGAUAUUCGCAACAAAGCAACGAUCUUCUUCGCUGCGAUCGUGUUUAGAAUCGCUGCCACAAUAUAGCGAGACGAUAUGAUCCCCCCUUCGAGCAAUGUCUUUCUCUUCUUAGUGCGCGGCAUGUCAGAAGCUUCACGACUUCGUUGUGUGACAACCGUGUUGUUUCACGGACUGCGGAACACUUACCGAGCCAAUAAAGAUUCACAAGAUUAUCAGUCAUAUUAUUAAAAAAGAUUAUAUACACAUAAUUACAAAUAUUCAACUUGCAAAUAGGAGAAUAUUUAUUACAAUUCGUGUUAAACUCGAUUCUAUUCGCACUGAAAUUUUUUCAUCGGCGUAUACAGCUGACACAACGUCAUUUAAAAGGACAUAAACGCCUCCACGGAGUGCGUUUAUCCCAAGUCAAUAAAUUCAUGCUCAAGAUCGAUAUCGUGUGCAUUUAACGUCUCCCAUAAACUAUCGAAUCUUACACGAUGAACUAGUUCCGUUGACCAGACAGGUUGCCUCGGCCAUCCUGCACGGAUAUACGUAAAGUCGACGUCCUUAAAUGCAUCAUGCGUCUCGUAAUACUCAUCCGAUUAUCCGUUCAUUCAUUUCGCUUAAUUGCCCACACCGUUAUCAGACGGGCUUUACGCUGAACGUCUGAGGAACGCUGUAUCCUCGGUUGUUUUAUAAAAAGACGAGUUUAUUCAUAUACGGAUCACGUUAUGAUAAUGUGCGAUUAAAUUCAUAUAUAGGUAACUAUGCUUGCAGAGGCAAGUGAGACUAGUUAUGGAAUGUGUGAGAGAGGAUGUUGAAUCACAGGCUGAAGCUAUAAUUACGUACAAGGAUUAUGGAGAAAAUAGUAAAAAGAAUAAAUUAUAGUAAAUACACCACCUUUAAUAUUUCUUUAAAUCUACUUAACUGCAGUACAUUUAAAUUGGUUAUCGGUCUAUUAUCAGGGACUAUCCUAAAUCUUUGGAAUUAAUAAACUGUGUUAUUUACACUUCAUUUUCCUGAAAACAUACGGUGUAAUACACGUAUGUAUAUUCCAUUGAUCUCAUAUUUUUUAAUUUCGUUAACCGUAGUACAUUAACAUCAGUUACUAAAAAGAAGUCUCCAUGUAAAAAUUAAUGAACAACGUUAUUUUCGUCUGAAUUUCCUAAAACGAUACAAAGCAAAGAAACGAAAUUAAUACCAGUGUGAUAAACAUAUUACAGUAAACAACAGGGUUCGCAGACUGUGCGAAGCCAAUGGAAUGGUACUAGGCAUUCUUAAUGCAUUUAACGUGGAAUGCAACUCCUACGUUCCCUGCAUCGACCGACACCGUGCUACAACCCGCCUGUGAACUCGUUCGUUUCGUCCGACGUUUACUGGCUAAAAUGUGACCGCUACAAUAUAGCGUGCAAAAACGUGCACCGUAACCGGCGAUACGAUCGUUAUUCAAUAAUUUACAGCUGGGUGGUCUACGUAUAAGUCGUGCAAGUCAAGAUGAAAAUCGAUUACCGCUUUUGUAAGAAGCUCGUGUCUGAUGAAAAGAGUAGUAGGUAGAUCGGGGCAGCAAGAAUCACUGACUGCUUAUGAAGAAACAAAUUGGAAUCUCAUUGUGUAUGCUUGUUCGCGUGUUGACUUUGACGGAAGUGAUCCCAACAUGCUUUGAAAGCGUUGUAUUAUAAUCUGACUUUAAUCAAGAUGAUCACAAAUCUAUUGUGACUACUAGAUCACAAUGUAAGAUUAUGGACCUGAUUACGAUGGCUUGCUAAUGGCACUCUUCAUAGCGUGGUUUUGGAUACAUUAAUCAUUCGUGUCACAAUAAAAUGCAACGAAAUCUCAGAGCAACUUGUUAUCGAAGAUAUUGAACAGCGAUGAUAAUUCGAGGCCUCGACUCCACCGAAGCAAACAACAAACAACCAUCUGUUCUCUUCUUUUGUUGCUGCGUAUUCCAAAACAUUUCCUACAUGCAGCAACUUACAGAAACAUUUUGCCACAUUGAAGUAAUUGUGAUUUUUUCAAGAAACAUGGAACAGCAACAAAAAGAUUCACAAUGUCGUUUUAGCGAAGACGUGGCUUAAUUGAUCUAUGAUUCUAAAUUUACAGUAUGACAAAACAUGUAUGUAAAUAAUUACAUCCAUUCUAAAAACACUAUAACUAGUUGAAUUCCAAAUUCUCAUGCGACAUUAAAAAGUUGCGAAGAAGAUUUAAAGGUAAUGUAAAAUAUUAAAGGAGGAUACACGUAUCAGGAUUUACUAUUCUCAAUAGCACUCAAAAGUUACAAAGAAGACCUAAGAAGUAUGUAAAAUGAUGUUAGGAUAUCUAGAGUACAAGUAGAAAAAGACAUAAAGAAGAAGAUAGGAAAAAUGGUCCAGGAAGCCUAAUGGCGACAACCGGAGCUCGAAUUACGCGGAACGUCCAGUGGUACAGGUUUAACGGUAAAAGCGGAUAAGCAACUCAUCCGUGGUGCUUGUACGAUUCCUUAAACGAUGACGAAACAUCGAGAAUCAUUCGUGUUGCACCGCGUGCACUGCACGGUCACGAUCAGGAAUGUCCUUUCGCGAGCUGACGUUCGCGUGCCUUCGAUCCACAUUCCGCAGUCCUGCCAAGAAUGCGCAUCGCCAGUUGUAAACGAUGCCGUAGAAAAACCGCUACAUGGCCCGACUCAAACAAGGGGGGAAAGAGAGAGGAUAGGGAAAAGUCUAGUGGAUGAAAAUUACUAGCGAAUUUGAAACAUGUUUGCCCCUUUGAUCUCUACACUCUCCGAUAGCGUUACCCGAUCAUGAUUAUUUUCGCUUGAAUGAAGCUAAUUCAGCAAGUUUAUUUGAUUUCUCUUGGAAUGUGAAGUUAGGAUUCAUGAUUAUAGAGAGAUAGUAGAGAGAGUUCUUACGCAUGUAAUUUUGCGAAUAAUUCAUCUAUUUCUGUGGGAGAGGAUUUCAGACAAAAUAUUAUUUAGUAUUUUUAUAUUUUUUCUACGUAGUAGCAAUUAUCUUGAAGAAAUUACGAAUUACAAUUUGGCGAAUUGAAGAAGUAAGAAGAGAAGAUCGAGGUGCUUCGUUAAAAAAGAUUUACAGAGAUUCGCCUAGAAAUGGUUCGUUCGUACCAAUCAUCGUGAAGAUACGAGAUCUCAUGUAAAUAAAGAUAUUCGUAUUAUGCUUGAUAAAAUACGUUCCAAGAAACGGGCGUUUCUUCCUUAUCAAUUUUAACGACACAUACCGCUAUAAUACUUGAAUAUGUAGUAAGACCCAUGUCACUUUUAUAUCACAGCAUCGAAGCGUCAGUAAAUGGAUUUUAUUACAGGAGGCAGCGCGUGAAUACGAAAAAUUCGCAAUUCCUGCGAGUCGUCAACCCAUCAAACGUGAAACUUAUCUCCCGAGGAACAUAAUUAACUCACUUCUUUCUCCCUUUUCUUUGCGGUAAAGAUGCAACUUUUGCCAUAAAAAUAUUAUAUAGAUAUAUAUCGUCCGCUUAUUUUUAUGCAAAUGGCUUCAUUUUUUAAAGAUUUAAUUUAUCGCUUGAUCUUUCUUAAGUAAUUAGUAUGGCAAAUUUAAUUAUCAAUCUCUGGUAACUUAACUGACUGAGUAAUAAAGAUAUGAGUUAUUAAGUACACAAGUAAUUACCGAGUUAAUUUCCACAAUUUCUUCCUUUUACGUCGUUUAUACAAUUAACUCAACAAUUAUCUACAGUGAUCUUUUUGUCCUUCACUUUUUGCACAUUCCAAUUAAUAUAAAAAAAUAACAAACCACAGGUGCAAACCAUGAAUGUUAUGCGAUGUUUUAACCAGAAGUACCUUGUACGGUUAUAGAGCACAAGGUUGAUCGAGAAGCCUUCAACAAUACCCGGAGAAUACAUCACUACGAAACAAAUAAAUCAGCUUUCGUAAUGAUGAACCGACCGAAGAACGCUGUUCCAGUCUCUGACCAGCAAUUCCGCAAUAUUUCGUUCCUGGCCAAUGGCAAUGCAACCAACUGCAGACGAUGCUAUCAUAGCAAACCUAAGACGAUGAAGUUCUUUCUUCUUGAAGAAUUCAAUACUCUGUUCACGUUAACCACUAGUUUGCAGAUUAUCAUUAAAUCACAAACUAUACAAUAUU